rnacentral:rRNA from 1 species
AUUGAACGCUGGCGGCAGGCCUAACACAUGCAAGUCGAGCGGUAGAGAGAAGCUUGCUUCUCUUGAGAGCGGCGGACGGGUGAGUAAUGCCUAGGAAUCUGCCUGGUAGUGGGGGGUAACGUUUGGAAACGGACGCUACUACUGCAUACUUCCUACGUGCGAAAGCAGGGGAGCUGCGGGCCUGGCGUUAUCUGAUGGGCGUAGGUCGGCUUAGCUAGUUGGUGAGGUAAUGGGUCACCAAGGCGACGAUCAGUAACUGGUCUGAGAGGAUGAUCAGUCACACUGGAACUGAGACACGGUCCAGACUCCUACGGGAGGCAGCAGUGGGGAAUAUUGGACAAUGGGCGAAAGCCUGAUCCAGCCAUGCCGCGUGUGUGAAGAAGGUCUUCGGAUUGUAAAGCACUUUAAGUUGGGAGGAAGGGUUGUAGAUUAAUACUCUGCAAUUUUGACGUUACCGACAGAAUAAGCACCGGCUAACUCUGUGCCAGCCGCCGCAGUAA